AAAUUUUGUUUGAUCCAUAUAGUCUCUUGUACACUUUGCUCACGAGCUUCCCAACCCCGCUGCGUGAUGAACCCUCCGCAGCUGGACGAGCUUGUACAGGAGGCAUGACCUGAUAAUUCUGGAAGAAUGAAUCGACCGACGCUCGGGCCCCACUCCAUUGCGGCAUGUCUUGGCUUUGUGAAUAUGGGCGACGAUUCCAAUCGGGCUCAGGCUGGCUUGGAGAAUGCAGUGGACGGUCCCACUGCGACUGAGACUCAUGCGUCGGGUGUGAAUACCACUGGGGUGGGUCAUGCUCUUGAUACUGCGCCUCUGGUGCUACAUAAUCGGGAGGCGCCUGAGACAUCCUAAACUGCUUUGUGUAGCCGUGUCCCCCAGUCCGAACACCACGCGCUCCACGACGCCGUGGAACUACUUCUUCUUGGUACGGCAUGACCACAUCCUGAUGUUGAGAAGCGGGGUACUCCAUGACAUCACCGUUGUUCGUAUCUUCGAGGGUAGUCCUAACAAUUUCUCGAAUCUGGCGCACUCGGGGGUCCAUUUCGUCUUCCGUAGUUAAAUGGAAAACCCGCUGAAAAGC